GACGAACGCUGGCGGCGUGCUUAACACAUGCAAGUCGAACGAAGUGGCGAACGGGUGAGUACUACGUGGGUAACCUUCCCUCCUUUUUGGGAUAAGCCUUGGAAACGGGGUCUAAUACCGAAUAACGGGGGAUGGGCUCGCGGCCUAUCAGCUUGUUGGUGGGGUGAUGGCCUACCAAGGCGGUGACGGGUCGCCGGCCUGAGAGGGUGAACGGCAACAUGGGGACUAGGAUACGGCCAAGACGCCUACGAGAGGCAGCAGUGGGGGUUAUUGCACAAUGGGCGAAAGCCUGAACCAGACAUGCCGCUUGUGUGAAGAAGGUCUUAGGAUUGUAAAGCACUUUAAGUUGGGAGGCGUUACCAACAGAAUAAGCACCGGCUAACUUCAUGCCAGCCGCCGCGGUAAUAC
rnacentral:rRNA from 1 species